rnacentral:rRNA from 1 species
CGGUCCUGUAAGUCCUUUGUGAAAUCGUCGUGCUCAACGCGACGGUGUGCAGAGGAUACUGCGGGACUAGAGACCGGGAUGGGUCAGAGGUAUUCCGUGGGGAGCAGUAAAAUGCUAUAAUCCACGGAGGACCACCGAUGGCGAAAGCAUCUGGCUAGAACGGGUCUGACGGUGAGGGACUAAAGCCAGGGGAGCAAACGGGAUUAGAUACCCCAGUAGUCCUGGCCGUUAACGAUGUGGGCUAGGUGUUGCGCAAUUUACGGGAUUGCGCAGUAUCGAAACGAAGGUACUAAGCCCACCGCCUGGGAA